rnacentral:rRNA from 1 species
UACAGAGGGUGCGAGCGUUACUCGGAAUUACUGGGCGUAAAGCGUGCGUAGCCGGUCAAGUAAGUCGGGUGUGAAAGCCCCGGGCUCAACCUGGGAAUUGCAUUCGAGACUGCGUGGCUAGGGUGCGGAAGAGGGAAGCGGAAUUUCCGGUGUAGCGGUGAAAUGCGUAGAUAUCGGAAGGAACACCAGUGGCGAAAGCGGCUUCCUGGUCCAGCACCGACGUUCAGGCACGAAAGCGUGGGGAGCAAACAGG